rnacentral:rRNA from 1 species
UACGGAGGGUGCAAGCGUUGUCCGGAUUUAUUGGGUUUAAAGGGUACGCAGGCGGGACUUCAAGUCAGUGGUGAAAUCCGGCGGCUCAACCGUCGAACUGCCAUUGAUACUGUAGUUCUUGAGUACAUCUGAGGUGGUUGGAAUGCGUAGUGUAGCGGUGAAAUGCAUAGAUAUUACGCAGAACACCGAUUGCGAAGGCAGAUCACUAAGAUGUAACUGACGCUGAGGUACGAAAGCGUGGGGAGCGAACAGG